rnacentral:tRNA from 1 species
GGAUGUGUAGCUCAGUAGUAUAGCAUGUACUUAGCAUGUAUGAGGCCCUAGGUUCAGUUCCCAGCACACACA